rnacentral:lncRNA from 1 species
AGAAUGGUGGUUGCCAAGGGCUAGGGUGGGGGACAGGUGGAGGUUCUUCAAAGAGUUCAAAGUUUCAGUUAUACAAGACGAGCAAGUUCUGGAGAUCAAAUGUACAAGCAUGGUGACUGUAGUUAACAACACCGUGUUGUAUAUUUGACAUUUGCUAAAGGGUAAAUCUUAAGUGUUCUCGCCACACACACACACACACACAAGGUAACUAUGUGAGGUGAUGUUAAUUAGCUUGAUUGUGGUGAUCGCUUCACAAUGUAUACAUAUAUCAUAACAUCAAGUUGUACUCCUUAAAUAUCUACAAUUUUAAUUUGUCAUUUAUACCUCACUAAAGCUAAAAAAAAAAAAACUCUGUGGCUUCCAUCUUGGCUCUGGCUCAGUCACACACUCUGGGGGAAGCCAGCCACCGCGUCCUGAGGAUAUACAGGCAGCCCGCAAGAGGCCUGCAUGGUGGUGAGGAACUGAGGAGACACCCAUGGCCAGCAAGGACAGAAGCCUGCAGCAACCACUUGAGUGAGCCUGGAAGCACAUCUUUGUAUGUUGUUUAGCCAGCCCCAGCCAACAGCUUGCCUGAAGCCCAGCAAACAUUAACUGAGCACCCUACACAUGCCAGGCUUCGAGUUAGGAGGAUCCAAAGAAGACAGGGUCCCUAGAGGGCUUGCAGGCACCAGCUCAGGUGGAGGCUAGACCUUCUUCCCAGAUCCUCCCACCUGAAGAAAGCAGCUGACGGCACAGAGGAACCUCAGGCUGAGCCCUAGACCUCUCUUGGCAAGAACGGAGAAAGGGGACUAGUUUGGAAUAGAGUUACUUAGCCAUAGUUGCCAUAGUUCGAAUACAGCUUAUUUAAAAAUAAAAUGUCAGUGUUGUUCAGCCAUCUUGGUGUUCCACGAUAUAACAACACGGAAUAAGAGACCUGUGUUGUCAUUUUCCCGUUGUGCCAUCACUCAUCACUCAGUUGCUCUUGCUGUUGAGACGAUGAAUGGCUCCUUAAGCUCCCACUGAACUGUCAGCCCUGAGGGUUUGGCUGCCAGCUCUGAACCCAGGGCCUCACACAGAACUUGGCAAACGCUAGGGGCUUAAAAGUAUUUGUCAAAUGAGUGAAUAAACUAAGGAAUGGGGCAGCUGCACUCCCAGCAAAGAUACCAGCCAAGCUUCUCGAUCUUCG